GGGUCAGUAGGUUGGUCGUGCCACCGGUACGUACUGGUCUCACUGAUUCCUCCUUCCUGAAGAACCGUAAUGCCAUUAAUUUGGUGUUGCGAGGUAACAGGACUGUUACUUUGAAAAAAUUAGAGUGUUUAAAGCAAGCUAACGCUUGAAUACAUUAGCAUGGAAUAAUGAAAUAGGACGAUCGAUCCUAUUUUGUUGGUUUCUAGGAUUGACGUA
rnacentral:rRNA from 1 species